ACACUGAGCUUUGCUUUACUGUUUUAUUAAUUAAAGCAUAAACGCUCCAAGAGGGAGGUCUUCUUAUACCAGUUCAGCAAAUUUAUCUCAAAUUAUGCUCAGGGAAUAGUAAUACCUUAAGCAGGAAGAGACUUGGGGCAAGCAGAUAAUGUUGAAGAAGGAAGAGAAAAGAAGGAAGAGAAGAAGGAGGAAGAGGAAGAAAACAGAAGAAGAGGAAGAGGAGGAGGAGGGAGGCAGAAGAUGAAGAGAGAAGGGAGAGAGGAAGGAAGGGUCCCCUGUGGCCAGUCCUCCUCCGCUCACUUCUUCCUCCCGCCGAGAACUUGCCCAGGCCACACUAGCGGCCUCAGCUUCCACCAUUCUGCAAAGGCUGAGCUGGCUUUGAAUCACCGGCAAGUUUCAGCUUUCCACGCGUAAAGCGAGCUCCCCAAACUCUGCUAUGACUACGCUGCUUUCCGCACCGUGAAGGAAAUGAUCUUUUAAAAGGUUUAAUAAGGAGAGGGGAAAACAGUCUCCUCCGGCCUUUCCAGAAGACAGGGGCCAUGUCCCCAAACAGCCUGCUGGCUCUCAACCUCCAAGACUUGCUGAUUGUGCCAGGGAAGGAAAUAUGCCUGUAAUUGCUCAUCCGGGUAAUAUUUAAAUUAAAGACUGGAUUUCAAGCUCAAUUUAAGCACUACAUUUGGAUGAUUUUAAGAAGGAAAUUUUGCCUGUGAAAAUGCUGCUUGCUUUACAGAAAGACCCAAUGACAUGCUCUGACAACUUCUACAGUGGGUGGAAAGCGGUUGCGUAUUUCUGAAUGAAGAUGUGUAGAGUUCAGGUGAGUAAACGAAACAAGUCUAUUCUUCUCUUUAAGCUCUCAUUACUGUGCACAGAAAUUCUCUGUAAUUCCCUUUUAUUCCUUGUUUAUAUUUUGGCAUCAUUUUACUGCCCCUAAUGCCCCAGAACAAUAGUGGCAAAAUAUGAACUAAUGAUCUGGAAAUUUCAUGCAGAACAGUCAGAAGUGUAUAAAGUAGCUAGGUCUG
rnacentral:lncRNA from 1 species